AGGACGAACGCUGGCGGCGUGCUUAACACAUGCAAGUCGAGCGGUAAGGCUCCUUCGGGAGUACACGAGCGGCGAACGGGUGAGUAACACGUGAGCAAUCUGCCUUCUCAUCGGAAUAACCAUUGGAAACGAUGGCUAAUGCCGAAUAUGACCUCGGAUCACAUGUUCUGAGGUAGAAAGCUCCGACGGUCAAGGAUGGGCUCGCGGCCUAUCAGCUUGUUGGUGAGGUAACGGCUCACCAAGGCUUCGGACGGGUA
rnacentral:rRNA from 1 species